UUAACAACGUUGUUUUUCAUGCCCGCGAGUUUAAGCGACACCGAUAGUGUGAUUAAUUAGCUCCUGCGACGCAAAUUUUACUAGGGAAACCUUGCUAAAGAAACACGUAUUUUACUUCCCUGAAGGCGAUUGGGAGGGUUUUGUUGUGAGAAUGUGGCAACCCUGGCUAAAAGGAUUUUCAGGCAGCAGCAGCAUAGAAACUUCAGCCCAUUAAAGCUGGAUGUUAGAGAAAUUUAAAGAUGUAUUGCUGGAAUGGUUGGACACCCUAGGUCAGCCUUCGGCUCCACCUGAAGACGGAAAACACUACUUAAAAUCUUAUUUUGAUCCAUUAAAUAGACACAAAGUUGGCAGCACAAAGGGUCUGUAAAUGCAUAAUGGUAAGGUCGAAUGAAAUUUCUCAAGAUAUUAAAGAAAAGAUCAUUUCUUACCAUAAGUCUGGUAAGGGCUACAAAUCCAUUUCAAAGACUAUGGGACUGCACAAAUCCACAAUCAGAUCUAUCAUUUGCAAAUGGAAAGCACUCGGAACCGUGAUGAACCUUCCCAGGAGUGGUCGACCGCCGAAAAUGUCUUCAAAGGCUAAGCGUAAAAUCAUCAAGGAAAUCGCGAAGAAACCUGAAAUAACGACCAAAGAACUGCAAGAGCGUCUUGCCCUAGCUAAAGUCAAAGUAUCUGAAGUCACAAUCAGAAGAACACUGAGGAAACUGGGCUAUGUGAGAGAGUAUGAAACUGAAAAUCAGUGCAGAAAAGAGUAAGGCUUUUGAUGCCAGUGUUUCAGCCAAAAGUGUUUAUGUAAAUGUUUAAAGCCAGAGUUUUUUUAUGUUAAAUGAAAAAGACUACAGCAUCAUAUAAGACAAACUGCACUCUUGUGUUCUGUACUAUAUAGUAUUUUUCUUACAAAGAAAAAUGUUUCUCAAUAUUGUUAUUCCAAUGGAAAUAUAUAUAAAUAUAUAUGUGAUAUAAAUUGUGUGUCAUGUUGCUAAUUUGCUUUAUGAAUGACUGGUUGGGAUAUGUGCAAUGUUGUGCUUUUGUAUCAAGUGUAAACUAGAUUUUUCUUUUCAAAACGUUUCCAUUAAAAUGUCUUCAUAUUGCUGCAUUUACAAUAAAUGAUUAAAUAAG